rnacentral:rRNA from 1 species
GGGGUGCCUACGAGAGUAGGCCGCAGUGAAUAGGCUCAAGCAACUGUUUAUCAAAAACACAGGUCUCUGCUAAAGCGCAAGCUGAUGUAUAGGGGCUGACGCCUGCCCGGUGCUGGAAGGUUAAGGGGAUUAGUUAGCGCAAGCGAAGCUAUGAACUUAAGCCCCAGUAAACGGCGGCCGUAACUAUAACGGUCCUAAGGUAGCGAAAUUCCUUGUCGGGUAAGUUCCGACCCGCACGAAUGGCGUAAUGAUUUGAGCACUGUCUCGGCAAUAAAUCCGGUGAAAUUGUAGUGCAAGUGAAGAUGCUUGCUACCCGCGGUUGGACGGAAAGACCCCGUAGAGCUUUACUGUAGCUUAGCAUUGAAUUUCGGUAUUGUCUGUACAGGAUAGGUGGGAGACUUAGAAGCGAGGGCGUCAGCUUUCGUGGAGUCGUCCUUGGGAUACCACCCUGACAGUACUGGAAUUCUAACUGGAGGCCAUGAAUCUGGUCACAGGACAUUGCUAGG